rnacentral:misc_RNA from 1 species
AUUUUGAGUAAAGGAGCAGGCACAAGCAUGCUCUUCUAAGGAAAAUACAGUUACAUGAAAUGUGGCUUACUGCCCUAGAAUAGCAUUUGCGAUCCCUAAAAGUUUUCCUUGAUUUACAAUAAAUAUCAUCUGAACCUAUUUCUAGAGUGUCAUCAGCCACAACCUGAAGUGAGGCUAUGAAAGUAACAACAUCAAUUAUAUGCUGAAGGGUGGGGUCUUGGUGGCAAGCAAAAAGAGUUGCCAAUGUCUAUUGUAGUAUGCAAAAAUGGGUUCCAUCUAUCAAACACAAUUCGUCCACCUCGGCCAAUUCUUCCAUGGAAUCUGUAUGGAGGUGUCGAUGCACAAUUCUUUGAU